GCGCUGGUCGGCUGCUAUAAAAUGGGCACUGUUUAGAAAUACGUACGCGACCGUGGGGUGGUGGGCCUUAUUUUAACAGGCAGAGUGGCGUCCGUUCGCCGUUGACGAGGUGGGCCGUGGAUCGGAAUCAGCGUACCCGUCUGAACCGUGGACAGGAAGUUCACUUUCCGUUCGGUGGUUUCACGCAGAAAUUGACACCCCUAAAAAAAGCAAAAAAAUUAAACGCAUCGUCUAGUGUCUUCUCUGCAAAGGGCGGAGCUCAUUUGGAGCUGGGGACUGGGUCGUAGAGAGAAGGAGCACCGGCGGCGAGGCCCCAUAGAGUUCGUGAUGCAGUCGAUAAGCGAAUCCACUUUCCUGGAGGAGGUAGGAUAGAGCUUGGUGCCGCCCCCUGUGCCGGCAGCGGUGACGAGAGGCGAUAUGGUGGCGGAGCAGGAGGUGGUGGAGCAGGAACGGGCGGUGGACAGCACCGAAGCUCUGAUCUUGGCGGCCAAGGUAGCGGCAGCGGCGAACAGGAGAGGGAGCUCGCCCCCGACGUCGGAGUCGUCAACUGGGAAGAUGAAUCCCCGGGCGCCUGGAUGGAAUAAGAGGCUGAUGCAGAGGAGGGAUUUUUUUUUCAAGUUUUGGGGAUCCACUCUGCUUGAGGAGGUAGGGGAGAGUUUGGUGCCGGCCCUUGUGGCUGUGAAUGGCCUUGCGGUGGUGGAUUUGGAGGUGCCACAGCAGGCGGAGCACAAGGCGGCACAACAUUGGGCAGUGGACAGUAGCCAAGGACAAAUCUUCUCGACGAAGGAGGCGGUGGCCGACACAAGGGAGAGCUCACGUCCGACUUCGGAGCUGUCAAUGGGGAAGAUGAAUCCCCAAGCGUCGGGGUGGAACGAGUGCUGUGCCGGUGGUGCAAAGUGGCAAGUGCUGAAGAAAGCAAAGGACUCAUUGGGAGCUCCGUACACUAAAAAGCCGCCGGAGAUUGAUCUGGGCGAUGACAUAGCCGGGGGCGAAGAAAUGGAGUUCCCGAUGCAACCAAUUUGGGAGGGGGUGCCUGUCAUUGAAGCAGAGGGUGAAGCGCAAGCAUCCGAGCAGUCUGUUGGUCAAACUGACCCAAAAACUCUAGGAUGGACAAGAAGGGCGAGGAUUGGUGCUGCCGCUCCUGGCAGGACGCCAUGUACAGAUUGCACGAGCGCUCUCGAGAAGGAAUCCGCAGCUUCACAGAGAACCCAGGAGACAUUGUGAUUGUGCAUGCGUUGGGUACAAGCUUUGAUACGUUGGGCGAGGCUUACGACUUGUACAAGUUGUACUCGUGGGAGAAGGGAUCCGGUAUCAGAUACGGGAUGAGCAAAUGUGGAGAGGACAAAGUGCAUGCAAGAAAUCUUUUGUGGCGGUGCGAUAGCAGGGUGGGUGUGUGACAAGUGUGUGCCUUGCUGCGCGCCAAGAACUGUGACGAACCAGUACGAAUUUCGAAUGGCAAGAGCGGGAGAAAGUGAGGCUGUUUAACAGAACCAGCAGCAGCAGAGCCACUUCUGAACUGUGUGUCCCCCCUUUGAUACACUGCUUCCUGAAGAUAGAAGAAGGCUGAAGACUGGAGCGCAGCAACUGGCAAUGGCUCCUUCCGUGCUAUUCGUCUCUGAGUCUGCCAUUACUAAACAGGCAAUAACUCGGAUGCAGCUUCCAAGCUGCAAAUAGUAUCUGAAGAGGGUUCUUAUGGAUCUGAAAGCACGGUUAACCAGGUCGUGCGGUUAGUCGCGAGGCGCAAUAAAUGGGUUAUCUGCCGCCGUGAGUCCAGAAUCUAUAAUUUCACGGCGCGCUACGUCGGUACACGUCUGAGCCGGAGAACAUGUGGCUAACGACGUAAUGUUAUCCGUUGUUCAGAAGUGGGCCAGUGGGACUGUUGAAAAAGUGAUAUACCAUGGUAAUACCUGAGCCUGUACUUGUCAGGGUGUGAAUCUCGAUGAGAAUAGACGAGGCAGAUAUAGAGUGCAUCUGAGCUCAAGCUCAGAAUAGCACUUUCGAAGAAUCGAUCACAAUACAUGGAUAUAAGAUGGUUUAUAGAAGAAGAAAAAAAAAGUUAUCUGGAUAA